rfam:Candidatus Kaiserbacteria bacterium RIFCSPHIGHO2_02_FTLL_50_50 rifcsphigho2_02_scaffold_474, whole genome shotgun sequence.
GCGGGUGUCGUUCAGUGGUAGGACUCCUGCCUUCCAAGCAGGUAGCGGGGGUUCGAUUCCCCCCACCCGCA